rnacentral:lncRNA from 1 species
UUUUUAGACCUAUAUAAACCUAAUCAAUUGUCGUAAACUUGUUGUAAGACAAAAGAAAAAAGAUGCCUAUAGCUAGAAACAUAAUUGUAAUGUUGAUUAUUGCAGUGAUUAUUUGUUCUGCCAUUAUCGUAGAGUCUCAUGGCAUUAUUACUCCAGAAAAGUACUGGACUCCAUCUUAUUAUACUGCAUCUAAAAAAAGCUGUUUCAUUGGAUGUCGUAGAAGUUAUGCACGUAAUAGGGUAAUGAGGAGGGACUGCAUUAAGAAAUGCUUUGUUUGAUAUGGAGCAGUUUGGUAACUGUAAGUUUUAUUUUUUUUAUUUUCAAUUGUAUAAUUAGAUGUUGUAAUCAUUUUGGGUUGGUCGUGGAUAGCUCAUUUGUCUGAUAAGUAAGUGUUAGGGUUCGAAUUUUAUCUUGUACAUGUAGCAACUUAUUAGCUAGCCGAAAAUUUUUAAAUAGAAUUUCAGUCUGUAACGAAUUAGUCAUUGGCUUGUCAAAAAAAAUAUUAUGGAAAAUAAAAAACUGUUUUAUUUCAGUUUAAUUUAUAUAACUAAUUUGAACCUGAAACACUAAUUCCAUG